ACAGAUUACAGGUCCACGUCAGCCAACAGAUUACAGGUACACGUCAGCCAACAGAUUACAGGUCCACGUCAGCCAACAGAUUACAAGUCUACGUCAGCCAACAGAUUACAGGUCCACGUCAGCCAACAGAUUACAAGUCUACGUCGGCCAACAGAUUACAGGUCCACGUCAGCCAACAGAUUACAGGUCCACGUCAGCCAACAGAUUACAGGUCCACGUCAGGUCCACGUCAGCCAACAGAUUACAGGUACACGUCAGCCAACAGAUUACAGGUCAACGUCAGCCAACAGAUUACAGGUCCACGUCAGCCAACAGAUUACAGGUCCACGUCAGGUCAACGUCAGCCAACAGAUUACAGGUCCACGUCAGGUCAACGUCAGCCAACAGAUUACAGGUCCAUGUCAGCCAACAGAUUACAGGUCCACGUCAGCCAACAGAUUACAGGUCCACGUCAGCCAACAGAUUACAGGUACACGUCAGCCAACAGAUUACAGGUCCACGUCAGCCAACAGAUUACAGGUCCACGUCAGCCAACAGAUUACAGGUCCACGUCAGCCAACAGAUUACAGGUCCACGUCAGCCAACAGAUUACAGGUCCACGUCAGCCAACAGAUUACAGGUACACGUCAGCCAACAGAUUACAGGUACACGUCAGCCAACAGAUUACAGGUCCACGUCAGCCAACAGAUUACAGGUCCACGUCAGCCAACAGAUUACA